ACAAUCUGGAACAAUUCUCAGGAAUUAUUUUCCUUUAAUUUUUCCCAUUUUCUGUGCACAGAUUGAUUGAUUUGAAAUGGUAGCAUCAAUUUUUAGACUUGUGAAUCUGGGAUGUCGUUAAGGGACUGUCCGUGUUUGAAUUUGGAUUUCUCUGCUUAUUUUUUUUGCACUCUUUAGCUGUUUGUUGUAUUGCCUCGUCCGAUUUAUCUUGUGGUUGCUAUGCUCUGUCUCGUUCGCCGAGGUUCUCUCGAUCUUGCUUGCGUUGUGGGUUUCAUAAUGGAAUUUCCAUUGGUGAAGUUUGUAGGUACAAGCCGGCGACCUAUGGUAACGUCUGUAUAACCUUCCCUCACCAUGGCCUUACCGGAAUUCAGUUCUAGGAGGAGAAGAUGCUGAAGGGGGACCCUGGAUGUGAGAUUGCUCCUUAUUGUAGAGACGAAGAAGUAGGGAAAUGCCACUGCAGGCUAGCUUUCUUGUUAAGAUCUCGACUUUUGUGGAAACGCUUUUCGUGAUUUUUUGUUGGUCCUCAAAUUUAUCAAGAGGAUAGCAUUCACCGGAAGUGGAAGGAACUCGAUAUUAGCUUUCUGUCUGUAUUUACUGAUUCAACGUACUUAUUCCCACGCACACAAUCUUCUCAUAUCUCAGCAUACUGUGAUGCACAUCGAAAUCUAUGGGGGAAACAGAUUUAUUGCGCCUCAACCCUUCCAUUCCAGCAUUUUACUCACCAUCCAAGAUUAAGGAACGGUCUAGUCGCUUCGAGUGCAGACACAAAUGAAGGCAUUUCGCGGACUGGAUAGCACUCGAUGAAAUCUUUGCCCAAAGUUCAUUUUGAUAACUGUUCAUAUUUUGCUUUAUGAAAUCAAAGAUGCAUAGCCCCUGGACUCUGGAGUCGCUGGUUGGCAAAGUUUAAAGGAGCUUUCCUUUGGAAGGGAGAUCCUGAUGCUAAAGAGGGAGCAAGAGUUAGAUGGGACACUGUCUGUCCUCCUAAGCAGUUUGGAGGCCUUGGCAUUCGAAGACUGGACUCGUGAAAUCUUGCUUGUCUUUUAAAGUGUCUCUGGAGUAUUUGGUUGAGGUAUGGUCUCUAUGUUUUGCCUGGCUCUGUAGCUAUCAUCUUGACUGGAAACCAGAUGCUACUUACUAUGCUUGGUAUGAUUUGUGACACCAUGCUGCGAUCUUGCCGGUGUCAUCUCUCAAGGAGAAUAGCUUAUGAAUCUUCUCUUCCAUCAGUCCAUUCUUUUCUCCUUCAUUUUACGGAGGAAACCCGGCAAGAAGUGAACGUAAAAGGUGUGUGGUUUGAUGAGAUUUCGGUUCUUCCAUUUUGCAUCUGCAUGUAGAGGGGAUCACAGAAGAGUAAAUGCAAUGAAGGGUUUGAUAUCGAGGUUCGAAACCUGUAUAUUUUGGUCUUUAUUCUGUUCGUCUUCGUCGAGGGAAGAUCGAU